UUUUAGGGAGUAACUGCAAUCAUUCAAUGGCUGUCUCCACUUUUCUACUUUGUUCUGAAAAACACAUCUGAUCUACCUCAUUCCCCAGACAAAUUAUCUUACAUUUCAUCUGUUUAUUUGCAUAUUGCAGCACAUCCAAAGUACCUGGGACAUCAGUUUUAGAUUCAAGCAAAUCCUGUUCUUCAGAGUUUCAUCACACGUGAACGGACAUGUUUUAGUUGUCAGCCGGAUAGAUAUAUUAUCCUUGUAAAUGAUCUCAGUCAUCAUUUUCAACAAUAGCCCCAUUGGAACCCUUUCUAUUCAGGAUGCUCCAAUGAGCACAGAUCACAAAACAAAACCGAGAAAGGAAUUACCAAUCCAGGACUAUCUGAUGUUCAGGAAACAACUGUGCCAACAUUUUGAGGCAGGUGCUUUUAUGUUUCACGUAUGUUUAUG